AGAUGCUUUGCGCGUGGAUC
rnacentral:snRNA from 1 species